rnacentral:rRNA from 1 species
AGUGAACGCUGGCGGUAGGCCUAACACAUGCAAGUCGAACGGCAGCACAGGAGAGCUUGCUCUCUGGGUGGCGAGUGGCGGACGGGUGAGGAAUACAUCGGAAUCUACUCUGUCGUGGGGGAUAACGUAGGGAAACUUACGCUAAUACCGCAUACGACCUACGGGUGAAAGCAGGGGAUCUUCGGACCUUGCGCGAUUGAAUGAGCCGAUGUCGGAUUAGCUAGUUGGCGGGGUAAAGGCCCACCAAGGCGACGAUCCGUAGCUGGUCUGAGAGGGUGAUCAGACACACAGGGACUGUGACACGCUCCAGACUCCUACGGGAGGCAGCAGUGGGGAAUAUUGGACAAUGGGCGCAAGCCUGAUUCAGCCAUACCGCGUGGGUGAAGAAGGCCUUCGGGUUGUAAAGCCCUUUUGUUGGGAAAGAAAUCCAGCUGGCUAAUACCCGGUUGGGAUGACGGUACCCAAAGAAUAAGCACCGGCUAACUUCGUGCCAGCAGCCGCCGUAA